rnacentral:rRNA from 1 species
AGCGAACGCUGGCGGCAGGCCUAACACAUGCAAGUCGAACGAAGUCUUCGGACUUAGUGGCGGACGGGUGAGUAACACGUGGGAACGUGCCUUUAGGUUCGGAAUAACUCAGGGAAACUUGUGCUAAUACCGAAUGUGCCCUUCGGGGGAAAGAUUUAUCGCCUUUAGAGCGGCCCGCGUCUGAUUAGCUAGUUGGUGAGGUAAUGGCUCACCAAGGUUACGAUCAGUAGCUGGUCUGAGAGGAUGACCAGCCACAUUGGGACUGAGACACGACCCAAACUCCUACGGGAGGCAGCAGUGGGGAAUCUUGCGCAAUGGGCGAAAGCCUGACGCAGCCAUGCCGCGUGGAUGAUGAAGGUCUUAGGAUUGUAAAAUCCUUUCACCGGUGAAGAUAAUGACUGUAGCCGGAGAAGAAGCCCCGGCUAACUUCGUGCCAGCAGCCGCAGUAAUAC